rnacentral:siRNA from 1 species
AGGGGCUAAGGGAGGAAAUACUUA